rnacentral:lncRNA from 1 species
UCUGGGUAUCGAUUCCAGGAGUAAACACCUUAACAAUAGAAGCCACAUAUCUUGGGUCUGUGGUUAUGCCUUAUAAAACCAGCCUGUAAGAUCGGGAGGGGGUCGCUCUCUUCAGAGGCAGCCCUGGCUGGUCAGUCUGACUUCUAAUGCUUGGCAUAGAAUAAGGUUUUGCAUAACUUUUACUUUGUCUUGAUCUCGUUCCUUUGAUAAUGGACCCCAACAUUCUGGGGGCUUGUCUGGGAUUAAAGGACGAGAACUGAGUCAGCAUCAGAAUUUCUGGGAAAAGCCUCUGGAGUUUGGCGACCAGUAUUGGAGAGGGCACGGAUUGCAUGGAGCACUGGGUAUGGUGCAAAAAUAAUGAAUACUGUUACACUGAAAAAAAAAAUAAAUGAAUUAAAAAAAUAUGUCUCUUUCCAUAGU